rnacentral:rRNA from 1 species
GACGAACGCUGGCGGCGUGCUUAACACAUGCAAGUCGAGCGGAGCGGCGAACGGGUGAGUAACGCGUGAGUAACUUCCCCCCUCCCUGGGAUAACAGUUGGAAACGGCUGCUAAUACCGGUAAGUGGGGGAUGACUCGCGUCCUAUCAGCUUUGUGGUGGGGUAGUGGCCUACCAAUGCGACGACGGGUAGCCGGACUGGGAGGGCGACCGGGCACAUAGGGCUGGGAUACGGCCCAAACGCCGACGGGGGGCAGCAGUGGGGAGUAUUGAACAAUGGGGGAAACCCUGAUGCAGCAGCGCCGCGUGCGGGAGGACGUCCUUCGGGUUGUAAACCGAUUUCAGCCAUGACGCGGUAGUGGCAGAAGAAGCACCGGCUAACUACGUGCCAGCAGCCGCGGUAAUUC